rnacentral:rRNA from 1 species
CACGUAGGGUGCAAGCGUUUGUCCGGAAUUAUUGGGCGUAAAGGGCUCGUAGGCGGUCCGUCGCGUCGGGAGUGAAAACUCGGGGCUCAACCCCGAGCCUGCUUUCGAUACGGGCGGACUAGAGGUAGGUAGGGGGAGAACGGAAUUCCCUGGUGUAGCGGUGGAAUGCGCAGAUAUCAGGAGGAACACCGGUGGCGAAGGCGGUUCUCUGGGCCUUACCUGACGCUGAGGAGCGAAAGCGUGGGGAGCGAACAGG